CCUGGCCUUGACAUACUAAGAACUUUCCAGAGAUGGAUUGGUGCCUUCGGGAACUUAGAUACAGGUGCUGCAUGGCUGUCGUCAGCUCGUGUCGUGAGAUGUUGGGUUAAGUCCGCAACGAGCGCAACCCUUUUCCUUAUUUGCCAGCGGGUCAUGCCGGGAACUUUAAGGAUACUGCCAGUGACAAACUGGAGGAAGGCGGGGACGACGUCAAGUCAUCAUGGCCCUUACGGCCAGGGCUACACACGUGCUACAAUGGUCGGUACAAAGGGUUGCUACCUCGCGAGAGGAUGCUAAUCUCAAAAAGCCGAUCGUAGUCCGGAUCGCAGUCUGCAACUCGACUGCGUGAAGUCGGAAUCGCUAGUAAUCGCGGAUCAGAAUGCCGCGGUGAAUACGUUCCCGGGCCUUGUACACACCGCCCGUCACACCAUGGGGGUUUGUUGCACCAGAAGUAGGUAGUCUAACCGCAAGGAGGACGCUUACCACGGUGUGGCCGAUGACUGGGGUGAAGUCGUAACAAGGUAGGCGUAGAUGA
rnacentral:rRNA from 1 species